AUCGAUAAGCCAUGGCUCUUCAACUACAGGCAAAGGAUGGGGUCUUCGGGCACCACAAGGUUCUAGGCUGCACGGAACCCAGCGGUUCCAUGUGCCAAGCACCCAACACGUGCGGGGCCGUUGGUAUGAGCGCUUUUCUCAUUCAGAAACACUCGUGACUCCCGUGAUGCUCACUGCCACGUGGCCCCCUUUCACGGACGAGGAAGUGGGGGCUACACGGGUUGAAGAGCCAGGGUCGCCUGGCUCUGAGGCCCACUCCCUGGGCCACUGUCAAAGAACCCCUUCCCUCUGAAGGUGGAAAUGCCGCCAGUCUCUCACAGUGCGCCUGCCAGCUGUGCGAGCUGGAUGGUCCUGGGGGUUAGACAUCUGCGGGAAAGUUAUGAAGAUGCGGACCCAAAGCAUAAAAUCAAAAUGGGGUUCUUGCACUUUUUUAAAGAACUGAACCAGAGUCAUCUUAAAUUUUGUAGAAGCAGGACGCCGCCUCUGUGCCUGAGUUCACCAGCACCGCCUCCUGUGUCUCAGGAGGCGUCUUCCCUGCUCUGCCUGUUUCUGCCGCAAACACGCCCAGCUUCCCUCCACCCCGAAGGGACGGAGAGUGCUACCACAGGCAGUUUCCUGACCCACGGAGCGAGGGGCUGCUGAAACACCUGGGCAGACACAGGACACGAAGACAUCCUGAAUCAUCUCAAGCAAGACAGAAUGAGCCACGGGGGGAGGAGGAGUCUUCGACAACAAACAUUUAUACACUUGAUUCCUAUGAAUAAAAAAGCCGCGCUAGCUCUACGGGAGAGUGCAAACGAACCUUAAGGGAAGUGGAGUUCCCACGGAACGCUCACCCGCCCUGGGGGCAGACGCGCGAGGAGGAGGGCCAGCGCCCAAAGCCAGGGGGCCGCUUCAACUCGGUGACAGCCAGCGGGCCCGAGCUGGGGGGGCAGCUCCCCUCACGUGAGGGCUGGUCCCAGCGCGGCGAACCCGAGCCUGCGUUUGAGGGCGGGCGCGCGUGGAAGCGAGCUCCCUUCGUCAGUGCGGUCAUAACGCACCACACACAGCACUGCUCGCAGCUGCGUUCCCGCGCCCGCGCCGGAACUCACCAGGGCCGAGAACAGACCCCGAGAGCGGCGACUGCUCACGUUUUCUGGUUGGCAGUGUGUGUGCCCACGUGUGCACAGGCAUGCAUGUGCAUGCGUGUGCGUGCGCACUGAUUCACCCAGGACAAUGCUACUUCUUCUGCGGGUCCUGUGUAACUCAUUUCGGAUGCGUCCCCGAGGGCCACAGGGAGAGGAGGUGCAACUCUUGUCUCGCCAGGAAAUUGGCUGUUCGGCGCCUCCCUUUCAGGGAGCGCCCGGCCCUCCAGCUCCAGCACAACCACGUUCAGCAGAUUCCAGAAACAGUGGAAUCGUCGCCUUGGCCCCUCCCACCCCACGUGCCCGUGAGGAAGAUGAGGAGCAAGGGCCUGUGAAAACGCCGGAUGAAGGUGGGGGCUGUCUCCUGGA